AGUUGCAAAAAGAAAGUAUUUUACCAUUUAGUUCAUCUGAUUUAAUUGUAAAAAGUAGCUCUCUCAUUGAAGUUUGUUUUAGUGAAUUGCAUAAUUGCAUUUGUUCAAACAAAACAACUAAUAAUUCAAUCUUUCUUACUUCAGAGAUAAGAAAAAAAGUUGAAGAUAUUAUAUAUAUUUUAAAAAAUAAAACUUCUGAUAAUC